rnacentral:rRNA from 1 species
GACAGAGGUGCCGAGCGUUAGGCGGAAUCACUGGGCUUAAAGCGUGUGUAGGCGGACUUCUAAGUACCUUGUGAAAUCCCACGGCUUAACCGUGGAACUGCUUGGUAUACUGGUUGUCUUGGGCCAUCUAGGGGCUAGCGGAACAAACGGUGGAGCGGUGAAAUGCGUAGAUAUCGUUUGGAACGCCAAUGGUGAAAACAGCUAGCUGGGGAUGUGCCGACGCUGAGACACGAAAGCCAGGGGAGCGAAGCGGGAUUAGCGUACCC